CAUGCGGCGCAUUAGCUAGACGGCGGGGUAACGGCCCACCGUGGCGACGAUGCGUAGGGGUUCUGAGAGGAAGGUCCCCCACACUGGUACUGAGACACGGACCAGACUCCUACGGGAGGCAGCAGUGAGGAAUAUUGGUCAAUGGGAGAGAUCCUGAACCAGCCAAGCCGCGUGAGGGAAGACGGCCCUAUGGGUUGUAAACCUCUUUUGUCGGAGAACAAAACCCGGGACGUGUCCCGGACUGCGUGUAUCCGAAGAAAAAGCAUCGGCUAACUCCGUGCCAGCAGCCGCGGUAAUACGGAGGAUGCGAGCGUUAUCCGGAUUUAUUGGGUUUAAAGGGUGCGUAGGCGGUCUGUUAAGUCAGCGGUAAAAUUGCGGGGCUCAACCCCGUCGAGCCGUUGAAACUGGCAGACUUGAGUUGGCGAGAAGUACGCGGAAUGCGCGGUGUAGCGGUGAAAUGCAUAGAUAUCGCGCAGAACUCCGAUUGCGAAGGCAGCGUACCGGCGCCAGACUGACGCUGAGGCACGAAAGCGUGGGGAUCGAACAGGAUUAGAUACCCUGGUAGUCCACGCAGUAAACGAUGAAUGCUGGUUGUCCGGGUCGAAUGAGACCUGG
rnacentral:rRNA from 1 species